CGUCGAGCGCGCGUGGCAGCAAUCGGCUCCGGAUUGCAGACCGCACGGAAGGUGGCAAAGCUUUUUACGCGGCGCCAUGCGGACGGACGAGACCGGCCGGCUCUAAAAGGGACCAGGAUAUGCGAGUGGCUUUGAAUUCUGCCCGGAAAGCUCCAAGAACCAGCACUCAUCCCCUGAUGCCACCAGCCAUUGCUCAUCCAUUCCCUUGUACGAAAUAAAUUUGAUGUAGAAG